rnacentral:rRNA from 1 species
AACGAACGCUGGCGGCAUGCCUAACACAUGCAAGUCGAACGAGACCUUCGGGUCUAGUGGCGCCCGGGUGCGUAACGCGUGGGAACCUGCCCUUAGGUUCGGAAUAACUCCCCGAAAGGGGUGCUAAUACCGGAUAAUGUCUUCGGACCAAAGAUUUAUCGCCUUUGGAUGGGCCCGCGUUGGUUUAGCUAGUUGGUAGGGUAAAAGCAUACCAAGGCGACGAUCCAUAGCUGGUCUGAGAGGAUGAUCAGCCACACUGGGACUGAGACACGGCCCAGACUCCUGCGGGAGGCAGCAGUGGGGAAUAUUGGACAAUGGGCGAAAGGCUGAGCCAGCAAUGCCGCGUGAGUGAUGAAGGCCUUAGGGUUGUAAAGCUCUUGUACCCGGGAUGAUAAUGACAGUACCGGGAGAAUAAGCUCCGGCUAACUCCGUG